GAGUACGUGCCAGAAAGACCACGACCAAGCAGCCUUGAGAUCUUAGGCAGCGUCUCCCUCAGGUCCCUCUCUAUCUCCCCACACAUCCACCAACCACUGGAACACAUCUCCAAAGUUCUGCCAGGCCAGCUCAGCUUCCCUUCAGAAGAAGUGCUGCCAGAUGAAGGAGCCUUUUGAGAGGCAGCUGGCAUCGUGAUUGGACUGUACUUUGGUCUGUUCCAAUCCAGCUUCAGCUCCAGAGACGGCAGGCGGGACGAGUCAACAGAGGCCGGAUGGACGAAGGCAUGCAGCUGAGUACAAUCCAGAAAACAACAGAGGAGGAGUGCAGUGGUCCAGGGCCAGAACAACCACAGUAGCAUCACCAAAGAACUACAGACUCUUCACAACCUGC
ensembl:lncRNA